CGGGGUAAUUUUGGCGCAAUGGGCGAAAGCCUGACCCAGCAACGCCGCGUGAGGGAUGAAGGCCUUCGGGUUGUAAACCCCUGUCAGGAGGGACGAAUGCCCUGGGGACCAACAAUCCUGGGCCUUGACGGUACCGCCAAAGGAACCCCCGGCUAACUACGGGCCAGCAGCCGCGGUAAUACGCAGGGGGCAAGCGUUGCUCGGAUUUACUGGGCGUAAAGAGCGCGUAGGCGGCCGGGUAAGUCCGGUGUGAAAUCCCUAGCUUCAACCGAGGAUUUGCAUUGAAAACUGCUUGGCUUGAGUCCAGGAGAGGAAGGUGGAAUUCCCGGUGUAGAGCCGAAAUGCGUAAAUAUCGGGAGGAACACCAGUGGCAAAGGCGGGCCUCUGAACUGGUACUGACGCUGAGGCGCGAAAGCUGGGGGAGCAAACGGUAUUAGAUACCCUGGUAGUCCAAGCCGUAAACGAUGGGCACUAGGUGCGGGAGGUAUUGACCCCUUCCGUGCCGAAGUUAACGCAUU
rnacentral:rRNA from 1 species